GAUGAACGCUAGCUACAGGCUUAACACAUGCAAGUCGAGGGGCGAGCAUUUCAGUUUUGUCUUGCAAACUGGAGAUGGCGACCGGCGCACGGGUGAGUAACACGUAUCCAACCUGCCGAUAACUCGGGGAUAGCCUUUCGAAAGAAAGAUUAAUACCCGAUGGUACAAUUAGACCGCAUAGUCUUGUUAUUAAAGAAUUUCGGUUAUCGAUGGGGAUGCGUUCCAUUAGGCAGUUGGUGAGGUAACGGCUCACCAAACCUUCGAUGGAUAGGGGUUCGUGAGAGGAAGGUCCCCCACCAUUGGAACUGAGACACGGUCCAAACUCCUACGGGAGGGCAGCAGUGAGGAAUAUUGGUCAAUGGGCGCAGGCCUGAACCAGCCAAAGUAGCGUGAAGGAUGACUGCCCUAAU
rnacentral:rRNA from 1 species